CUGUGACUGAUGGCAAGGUUCACUGUCACAUUCAUUCUUUCUUUCAUUAAUUCCAAACAGUCUCAAGAGGUCAGCUGACCUGGCUUCCUGCCUGAGGUGGUCAGCAAGGAAACCACUAGAGCUGGAAGGUCAAUGGGUCUAAAGGAUGCAUCAUAAGAAAUGAUGUGAACUGUGAACAUCAAACAAAAAGCCAUCAGUUCUUCCAGCAACAGGAUGAGUUUAUUCAAAAGCAACAAUUAAAAUGCAUUUUGGACAGGAAAACAACAUCAGUGCCCACCUGAGAAGUACAUACUUGGUCAUAUAGUUUGCUGCCUGUACAUGCCUAAGUUGUCCUUUCUAGGAUCCCACUCUCAUUAAAUAGGAUAUGAGUGAAAAUGGAUGAAGAAAAGGGAAAUAAAGCUAUUGUAUACUUAGGAGGACUUGAAGAUAAGGAACAAAUGAGCAUGUCUUUUUAUCCCCAUUGAACCCAGAUGACUGCUUGAAGAAGAAAAAAGCAACAUAUUGUCCAAUUACAAUAAGAAUAUACUUCUGAUGCACCUGUUUUACUUCCCAAAGCUGACUUUGAGGACCUUGAUUAUAUCCAUGGUUUGGUAUAAAUUUUCACUGAGAUCUUUAUCUCAUCCUGACACCAAUU